rnacentral:antisense_RNA from 1 species
CUUCACCGACCCGAGCCACAGCGGCCGGUCGGCGGAACGGUCGCGGCCGUAGGUGGCGAUGAGGGCCUGUGCCUC